GAUGAACGCUAGCUACAGGCUUAACACAUGCAAGUCGAGGGGCAGCAUGGUCUUAGCUUGCUCAGGCCGAUGGCGACCGGCGCACGGGUGAGUAACACGUAUCCAACCUGCCGUCUACUCUUGGACAGCCUUCUGAAAGGAAGAUUAAUACAAGAUGGCAUCAUGAGUUCACAUGUUCACAUGAUUAAAGGUAUUCCGGUAGACGAUGGGGAUGCGUUCCAUUAGAUAGUAGGCGGGGUAACGGCCCACCUAGUCUUCGAUGGAUAGGGGUUCUGAGAGGAAGGUCCCCCACAUUGGAACUGAGACACGGUCCAAACUCCUACGGGAGGCAGCAGUGAGGAAUAUUGGUCAAUGGGCGAGAGCCUGAACCAGCCAAGUAGCGUGAAGGAGGACUGCCCUAUGGGUUGUAAACUUCUUUUAUAAAGGAAUAAAGUCGGGUAUGUAUACCCGUUUGCAUGUACUUUAUGAAUAAGGAUCGGCUAACUCCGUG
rnacentral:rRNA from 1 species